ensembl:lncRNA
GGCUGAUUGUGCUCCAUCCCCUUCCCACCUCCCAUCACCACUAAUAGUUCAAAGGUUGUUACAUGGCGAAGUUGCCUAGCCAGAAUUUAAUUCAGCCAAGUAGUUAUCAACUUAAGCUAAUGGUUUGUGAUGCGCGUAAGGAAGCAUCAGGGUUAGAAACCAUCACUCACAGGAAGUUAAGUGAGCACGUGACCUGCGUCAUUAUAACAGGUCUAUAGAGGCGGUAGAGCAGCUCCGGCGUCUCGGUGGUGGGAGGCGAGUCCAUUGGGAUAGUGGUUGCUUCCGGCACUCUGCUCGUCAGGUGACCUGAGAUUUACGUGGUGAAGCAGGAAUGGGGUGUGAGAAGGCACGCUGCAGAGGCGGCAAAUGUCUUUCUGAAAGCAGAGAGCCGUCCCAGUUAUGGAGGAGGUGUAGCAAAGGGGAGGAAGGGGCCCUGGAUCUGAGUGUCAACGACGGCGCAUGCCCUGAGGAGGACUAGGGCGCCCACAAAGGACAGCGUGGAAAAAGAGCUGCUCCUUCUACUCCCAUAUGAAGCUUUUGAUGACUGUCCCAGCCUGUCACGACAGGUUAUCAAGCUAUUCGUGGGCAUUAGCAAUGCCAUUCCGCGUGUUAGCCUUUGUCCACUAGCCAAGGCCAGAGGGUGAAUGAAGUCUAACAGGUGUUAGAACCGCUGGCGGACUCGGAAGUCCCCACUCCUUUUCUUGAUGAAUAGUCCUGAGACUCCGGGGGGAGGAGAGCAGGCUAGAUAAAUUCCUUCCACAGACUUUUUCGGAGACUCCUGUGGAGCUACAGUUUCAGGCUUGGCCAGUGAGGAAAUGUGCCUGGAGAGAACUCUUGCUCCCAGGACUAGGUUAAUGAUACAGUUGCAUAGCCCAAGUGAGAGCAUUUUCUCCGACUUGACAGCAAUAAAAAAUGAAUGCCAGUUCUGAAAACUGGGAAGGGAGCUCCGGCUCAGAGUCUGGCCAAGGGCCGUCUAGAAUGUCCUAUCUGUCUGCUUCAGACAAGGUUUCCAGCAGUGCUAGGAGAUGAACUUGACCUUUCUGAAGUUCUGAGAAAUGGAGAGACCACCCUGGCAACACAUUCCUCACUCCACUGGGGGAGGGGAGAGCAGAUUAUGUGCAAAGAGAUCACUCUGCGAAGCCCUUGGAGCCCUAGUCUGCUGGAUCACAGGUUCUUACUGAAGCAGGGUAUUUUUCAGUCAGCAUUCAAAUCAAGCCUAUGGAUUCCCUGCCCCAUCACACCUGCCAGAGCCUGCUCACAUACCCUCCAUUUCAUUUCCUGAUGGCCAUAUUGAUGAAGACUUAAAUGGCAAUCUGGUUGCUCCUACUCUUGGAACUUCAAUCCCAAAGUGUUACUGGACUGAGUAUGGACAUUUGAUCAGCUCUAGAACACUGAGGCUCAGAAGUCAAACCUCAAGCUACAAAGAAGUUAGCCUCCAACUCUGCAGGAAACAGGGAUUACCUGUGUGGGCCACAACACUGGAUUGUUUCCUUUCUGAGGAAAAUUGAAUCUGAAAGGACUCUCUGUUUUCAAAAUAUAUUAUAUUCCUUUCAUUUGAGAAAGUUUUCAUAAGUUUUAUAAUAUAAGUUAAUUUUAACCACUUGGUAUAUGAUACAAAAAUGAAAUUCAAGACA